rnacentral:rRNA from 1 species
UACGAAGGGGGCUAGCGUUGUUCGGACUUACUGGGCGUAAAGCGCAUGUAGGCGGCGAUUCAAGUCGGGGGUGAAAUCCUGAGGCUCAACCUCAGAACUGCCUUCGAUACUGUAUUGCUGGAGUAUGGAAGAGGUAGGUGGAACUGCGAGUGUAGAGGUGAAAUUCGUAGAUAUUCGCAAGAACACCAGUGGCGAAGGCGGCCUACGGGUCCAUCACUGACGCUGAGAUGCGAAAGCGUGGGGAGCAAACAGG